UGCUUUGAAACAACGGUUUCCGUAGGAUCACCGAAGUUAAGCAACGUUGAACCUGGUCAGUAUAUAGAUGGGUGACAGCUUGGGAAUAUCAGGUGAUGUAAG